rnacentral:miRNA from 1 species
CACACACACUCAUGAACACACA